rnacentral:rRNA from 1 species
GAUGAACGCUAGCGGCAGGCUUAAUACAUGCAAGUCGAGGGGCAGCACGAAUAGCAAUAUUUGGUGGCGACCGGCGAAACGGGUGCGGAACACGUACGCAACCUUCCUUUAAGUGGGGGAAUAGCCCGGGGAAACCCGGAUUAAUACCCCGUAAUAUUAUGAUGUGGCAUCACUUUAUAAUUAUAGAUUCAUCGCUUAAAGAGUGGGCGUGCGCCUGAUUAGGUAGUUGGGCGGGGUAACGGCCCACCAAGACCUGCGAUCAGUAACUGGUGUGAGAGCACGACCAGUCACACGGGCACUGAGACACGGGCCCGACUCCUACGGGAGGCAGCAGUAAGGAAUAUUGGUCAAUGGACGCAAGUCUGAACCAGCCAUGCCGCGUGGAGGAUGAAGGUCCUCUGGAUUGUAAAC